rnacentral:rRNA from 1 species
AACCGGAUUAGAUACCCUGUAGUCCACGCCGUAAGCGAUGAGUGCUAAGUGUUAGGGGGUUUCCGCCCCUUAGUGCUGCAGCUAACGCAUUAAGCACUCCGCUGGGGAGUACGGUCGCAAGACUGAAACUCAAAGGAAUUGACGGGGGCCCGCACAAGCGGUGGAGCAUGUGGUUUAAUUCGAAGCAACGCAAAGAACCUUACCAGGUCUUGACAUCCUCUGACAAUCCUAGAGAUAGGACGUCCCCUUCGGGGGCAGAGUGACAGGUGGUGCAUGGUUGUCGUCAGCUCGUGUCGUGAGAUGUUGGGUUAAGUCCCGCAACGAGCGCAACCCUUGAUCUUAGUUGCCAGCAUUCAGUUGGGCACUCUAAGGUGACUGCCGGUGACAAACCGGAGGAAGGUGGGGAUGACGUCAAAUCAUCAUGCCCCUUAUGACCUGGGCUACACACGUGCUACAAUGGACAGAACAAAGGGCAGCGAAACCGGGAGGUUUAGCCAAUCCCACAAAUCUGUUCUCAGUUCGGAUCGCAGUCUGCAAC